rnacentral:rRNA from 1 species
GUGCCAGCAGCCGCGGUAAUACGGGGGGAGCAAGCGUUGUUCGGAUUUACUGGGCGUAAAGGGCGCGUAGGCGGCCACUGCAAGUCAGUUGUGAAAUCUCCGGGCUUAACCCGGAAAGGUCAACUGAUACUGCAGGGCUAGAGUGCAGAAGGGGCAACUGGAAUUCUCGGUGUAGCGGUGAAAUGCGUAGAUAUCGAGAGGAACACCUGCGGCGAAGGCGGGUUGCUGGGCUGACACUGACGCUGAGGCGCGAAAGCCAGGGGAGCGAACGGGAUUAGAAACCCGCGUAGUCC